UACGUAGGGUCCAAGCGUUAUCCGGAAUCACUGGGCGUAAAGCGCACGUAGGCGGAUUGUUAAGUCAGGGGUGAAAUCCUGGAGCUCAACUCCAGAACUGCCUUUGAUACUGGCGAUCUUGAGUCCGGGAGAGGUGAGUGGAACUGCGAGUGUAGAGGUGAAAUUCGUAGAUAUUCGCAAGAACACCAGUGGCGAAGGCGGCUCACUGGCCCGGUACUGACGCUGAGGUGCGAAAGCGUGGGGAGCAAACAGG
rnacentral:rRNA from 1 species